rnacentral:rRNA from 1 species
UGGUUCUCUCCGAAAUAGCUUUAGGGCUAGCCUCAAGUGAUGAUUAUUGGAGGUAGAGCACUGUUUGGACGAGGGGCCCCUCUCGGGUUACCGAAUUCAGACAAACUCCGAAUGCCAAUUAAUUUAACUUGGGAGUCAGAACAUGGGUGAUAAGGUCCGUGUUCGAAAGGGAAACAGCCCAGACCACCAGCUAAGGUCCCAAAAUAUAUGUUAAGUGGAAAAGGAUGUGGCGUUGCCCAGACAACUAGGAUGUUGGCUUAGAAGCAGCCAUCAUUUAAAGAGUGCGUAAUAGCUCACUAGUCGAGUGACACUGCGCCGAAAAUGUACCGGGGCUAAACAUAUUACCGAAGCUGUGGAUUGUCCUUUGGACAAUGGUAGGAGAGCGUUCUAAGGGCGUCGAAGCAUGAUCGCAAGGACAUGUGGAGCGCUUAGAAGUGAGAAUGCCGGUGUGAGUAGCGAAAGACGGGUGAGAAUCCCGUCCACCGAUUGACUAAGGUUUCCAGAGGAAGGCUCGUCCGCUCUGGGUUAGUCGGGUCCUAAGCUGAGGCCGACAGGCGUAGGCGAUGGAUAACAGGUUGAUAUUCCUGUACCACCUAGUAUCGUUUUAAUCGAUGGGGGGACGCAGUAGGAUAGGCGAAGCGUGCUGUUGGAGUGCACGUCCAAGCAGUAAGGCUGAGUGUUAGGCAAAUCCGGCACUCAUAAGGCUGAGCUGUGAUGGGGAGAGGAAAUUGUUUCCUCGAGUCGUUGAUUUCACACUGCCGAGAAAAGCCUCUAGAUAGAUAACAGGUGCCCGUACCGCAAACCGACACAGGUAGUCAAGAUGAGAAUUCUAAGGUGAGCGAG